rnacentral:misc_RNA from 1 species
GAUGAAGAACGUAGCGAAAUGCGAUAAGUAAUGUGAAUUGCAGAAUUCAGUGAAUCAUCGAAUCUUUGAACGCACAUUGCGCCCCCUGGUAUUCCGGGGGGCAUGCCUGUCCGAGCGUCAUUACAACCCUCAAGCUCAGCUUGGUAUUGGGCCCCGCCGACCCGGCGGGCCCUAAAGUCAGUGGCGGUGCCGUCCGGCUCCGAGCGUAGUAAUUCUUCUCGCUCUGGAGGUCCGGUCGUGUGCUCGCCAGCAACCCCCAGUUUUUUUCAGGUUGACCUCGGAUCAGGUAGGGAUACCCGCUGAACUUAAGCAUAUCAAUAAGCGGAGGA